rnacentral:snRNA from 1 species
GUGCUUGUUUCCACUGCACAUAUACUAAAAUUGAUACAGGGAAGAUUAGCCUGGCCCGUGAAAGGAAGACUCGCAAAUUUUCCUAAGUAUAAAGGAAUGGAU